UACGUAGGGGGCAAGCGUUGUCCGGAAUCAUUGGGCGUAAAGAGCGUGUAGGCGGCUCGGUAAGUCCGCUGUGAAAGUCAAAGGCUCAACCUUUGAAUGUCGAUGGAUACUGCCGGGCUAGAGUCCGGAAGAGGCGAGUGGAAUUCCUGGUGUAGCGGUGGAAUGCGCAGAUAUCAGGAGGAACACCAAUAGCGAAGGCAGCUCGCUGGGACGGUACUGACGCUAAGGCGCGAAAGCGUGGGGAGCGAACAGG
rnacentral:rRNA from 1 species